rnacentral:rRNA from 1 species
UACAGAGGUGGCAAGCGUUGUUCGGAAUUACUGGGCGUAAAGGGCGCGUAGGCGGCCUUCUAAGUCAGACGUGAAAUCCCCCGGCUUAACCUGGGAACUGCGUCUGAUACUGGGAGGCUUGAGUAUGGGAGAGGGAUGUAGAAUUCCAGGUGUAGCGGUGAAAUGCGUAGAUAUCUGGAGGAACACCGGUGGCGAAGGCGGCAUCCUGGACCGGCAUUGACGCUGAGGCGCGAAAGCUAGGGGAGCAAACGGG